rnacentral:rRNA from 1 species
GCGGCAAUAACAGGUCUGUGAUGCCCUCAGAUGUUCUAGGCUGCACACGUGCUACAUUGAUCAGCACAAUGCGAUACAUUUCGAAAGGAAACAUCGGUUUUAAGGUAACGUCGAUUGCCUACCGAUAGCACCUGGUCCCCAGUGGACUGGGCAAUCUCUUCUAAAUGCUGGUAAGGUACCCACACUCGAGCUAUUUAAUCACACGCGGGAGGCACACACGGUUCAAAUCUCAUUUGCGACUGUUGCCGCCAUGACGUAUGCAACUUGUCAAUUCUUCGUGGGGAUCGUCGAUUGCAAC